AACGAACGCUGGCGGCAUGCCUAACACAUGCAAGUCGAACGAGACCUUCGGGUCUAGUGGCGCACGGGUGCGUAACGCGUGGGAACCUGCCCUUAGGUUCGGAAUAACUCCCCGAAAGGGGUGCUAAUACCGGAUAAUGUCUUUGGACCAAAGAUUUAUCGCCUUUGGAUGGGCCCGCGUUGGAUUAGCUAGUUGGUAGGGUAAAAGCCUACCAAGGCGACGAUCCAUAGCUGGUCUGAGAGGAUGAUCAGCCACACUGGGACUGAGACACGGCCCAGACUCCUACGGGAGGCAGCAGUGGGGAAUAUUGGACAAUGGGCGAAAGCCUGAUCCAGCAAUGCCGCGUGAGUGAUGAAGGCCUUAGGGUUGUAAAGCUCUUUUACCCGGGAUGAUAAUGACAGUACCGGGAGAAUGAGCUCCGGCUAACUCCGUG
rnacentral:rRNA from 1 species